GAUGGACGCUGGCGGCGUGCCUAAUACAUGCAAGUCGAGCGAACGGACGAGAAGCUUGCUUUUCUGAUGUUAGCGGCGGACGGGUGAGUAACACGUGGAUAACCUACCUAUAAGACUGGGAUAACUUCGGGAAACCGGAGCUAAUACCGGAUAAUAUUUUGAACCGCAUGGUUCAUAAGUGAAAGACGGUCUUGCUGUCACUUAUAGAUGGAUCCGCGCUGCAUUAGCUAGUUGGUAAGGUAACGGCUUACCAAGGCAACGAUGCAUAGCCGACCUGAGAGGGUGAUCGGCCACACUGGAACUGAGACACGGUCCAGACUCCUACGGGAGGCAGCAGUAGGGAAUCUUCCGCAAUGGGCGAAAGCCUGACGGAGCAACGCCGCGUGAGUGAUGAAGGUCUUCGGAUCGUAAAACUCUGUUAUUAGGGAAGAACAUAUGUGUAAGUAACUGUGCACAUCUUGACGGUACCUAAUCAGAAAGCCACGGCUAACUACGU
rnacentral:rRNA from 1 species